GAUGAACGCUGGCGGCGUGCCUAAUACAUGCAAGUCGAGCGAAGCGGGGACGGGUGCGUAACACGUGGAUAACCUCCUAUAAGACUGGGAUAACUUCGGGAAACCGGAGCUAAACCGGAUGCUUGUACAUGGAUCCGCGCUGCAUUCGCUAGUUGGUAAGGUAACGGCUUACCGAGGCAACGAUGCAUAGCCGACCUGAGAGGGAGAUCGGCCACACUGGAACUGAGACACGGUCCAGACUCCUACGGGAGGCAGCAGUAGAGAAUCUGCCGCAAUGGGCGAAAGCCUGACGGAGCAACGCCGCGUGAGUGAUGAAGGUCUUCGGAUCGUAAAACUCUGUUAUUAGUGAAGCGGUACCUACUUAGAAAGCCACGGCUAACUACGAGCAAGCCGCCGCCGUAAUUC
rnacentral:rRNA from 1 species